UGAAGUGACACUGGACUGAGUCAGCUUCCAUCCCAAGGCAGCUACAGACACACAAUUCAGAGAAACUUUGUGCAAAAGAGAUUAAAGAUGCUCCUGAUCAUCCUGAUUCAACUCCUGAUCGUCGCAUCAGCAAAUGCCCAGGCAACCACCACUGUAGCACCUACAACUGCAGCACCCACCACUGUAGCAGCUACAACUGCAGCACCCACCACUGUAGCAGCUACAACUGCAGCACCUACCACUGUAGCACCUACAACUGCAGCACCCACCACUGUAGCACCUACAACUGCAGCACCUACCACUGUAGCACCUACAA